GGUGAACCAUCUUGACAGCCUCCACCUGAGAUUCUUUGUGGUUCUCACCCUAAUGCCAUGAGAUUUGGAGUUGGACCAUUUGAUGGUGAUUAAUUGAUGUUGUAAGACUGGACCACUAUCAAAAGAAGAACCUAAGCCCAAUUCCAAGACAACGUCCAGGGUGUUUUGCUGGCUGAUGCAGAUUCAGGACUGUGUAUGACAACAGCCAUGAGUCAGACCUAGAAGACAUCAACCCUUGCUGCUCCAACCAUCAUCUGGGAUGUGAUAAGAUCAGUGUUUCAGGGGAGCUUUUCAAUGAGGGUGCGUGUUUGAGCUGAUGAUUUCAUGAACACAGAAGAACUGAAGAAGGGGGAGGAGCUAUGAGUUCCCUUGUUUGUCAGCUCUUUCACACAUUGCUCUGAGACCCUCCUCUGCAAGAGACAUCCUUUGCCCCCUGGAAGACACAUCUUCACAUACCCAGCCUGCACUUACUGGAUCACAAACAGAUAGAGGUGGGAGCUCAGUCGCCCAGGAUGUGUGACUCAGUGUGAAGACUGGUGGGGUAUGGAGCAGAUAUCCCUGAGUUCAUUCACUUGAGACCACAACAGCUAGCAUCUUUGGAGUGGUGGCUCCUUUAAGAGUCAGAGGAGACAAGUGCUGGAUUGUGUCAACUCUAAGUCUAUACCGUGGCUAGAAGGCUCUAGAUAAUGUUUCACUUCUUAUGUCUCCUAUCUGCAAAUAUGAGGAGUGGGGAUGGUUAAGAAUUUGGGUCCUGGGGUCUGACAUUGCCAGGGGUUUAGGCCUCUGGUCCACUGGGCGAGGAAUGUAUGGGUUAGUGAAAGUAAUUUUUGUUCCCACUUUCUGGCAUGUGGCUGUGGUCACAGACUUUAAUGACAUAAAACAACAGCAAAAUCAUAAACAGAGCACAGAGCAAGUGAUGCCCAUGGUCCAGAGAACAGGGCAUGAGGUACCCUCUGCGAAUGUGGGAAAGAAAUUGGCAGGCCUCGAAUGGGGACUAGAAGCCAGCCUCUAGUGCUUUUCUUCCUCUGGACCGUUUCUUCCAUCCUGCUCUGUGCUCAUGCAAAGCAACAUCAAAAGGAAUCCUCUCAUUAACCCUUUGUGUCGUCUUUGUUCCCGAUUUAGAGCACCCACACUCAGAUUAUUUUUAGAGGCUGCGAGGAGUCAGAAGUCACCCCUGUUCACAGAGAACCCAGCUGCCAUCUUCAAAGGUAGCCCUGGUUCCGCCCUUUGCAGGACAUUCUGGGGCACAGACAGAAAACACAAAGGCUAGAGAUCUUUACUGUCUUUCUGAUGCUUACCUUCUCCCUCCCCCACCCACAUGACCUGCGAAAGUUAAAAUUCUCUCUCUCUCUCUCUCUCUCUCUCUCUCUCUCUCUCUCUCUCUCUCUCCCUCCCUCCCUCCCUCCCUCUCUCUUUCCCUCUCUCCCUCCCCAAAGUGGGGAGGGCCCAGCAGUCAUCUCUUCCUACGUGAGUCUGUCUGUGAAACCUGUGCAGCCAGCCUACUCUCCCUCCCACCAUCUACCAUCUUUCCAUAUUCUUUCUAGCAUCCAGAAUUAGCAGCCUGAAAAACAGGCCAGGGUGAGGCCUGGAGCAGCCCUCUCAAACUGUGGGUGCCCUUCACCAGACAGUUCUAGUCAGAUCCCAGGCCCUAGGACUGAGCACCCUCAUUCACAGCAUUCCCUCCUGUCUGUUUCUAGAAGAUUCGACUUUAGUGCCGUAGAAUGAAGAAGCCUAGGCUAUCUGAGAUCCAUUUCUCCCCAGUCUACAGAGACAAUGCCAAGGCCUGGAAAGUUGAAAGCUUUUUGUGAAGUCACCAAGCAGGUCAAUCAAUGUGUCAUGUCGACCCUUACAAGGCUCCUUGCCAUUCUCAAGGCCCCUCCGAGUUGCUAUGGUUUUGAACCUUAAAAGUCCAAAUGUCAUAUGUUGAAAGCUUAGUCCCCUAACAGACUUGGUACUUUAGAGAGGCAGGAAAAAUUUUAGGAGGUGGGGCCUUGCAAGAGGAAGUUAGGUUCCUGAGGAGAUGCCCUUGAAGAGAAUAGCAGAACUCCCAUCAUCCUUCCUCUCUUUGCUCCUUGGCGAACAGGCCUUUUCUGUCAUACAGUUCUGCCACGUGCUCACAGGCACAGAAGCAUCAGGGCCAGUUCAUAAUGUACUGUGCCAGCAUCAUGUACUCUGGUGUGUGUAUGGAUGUGCAUGUCUUCCACAUAGAUGGCCUCAGAAGGUGAAGAUUAAUUGGGGGGGGGGUGGUGGUGGUUAUGCUGAUGCAGUGUGCAUUAACAGCAAAGGCAAGGGACCGGAUCUUUUAGAUCAUGGUCUCUGAAGCUCUGAGCUAAAAAAGGGAGCAAGGGGGAGGGAAAUUGGCUAGCCAUGGAGCUCACACAAAGCCCUCUUAGACUAGGCUGAUGUGUGUGGUCAGCUCCCACAAGCACUUAUGCCCAGGAGCCUGUUGGGGGGGGGCUUCUCCCUUAGUUAAUCCUGCCUGGAAAUGUCCUCAUGGAUAUACCUAGAGCCUUGCUUUCUUAACUUCCUAGAUUCUUGCUCUCAAUACCAUCAAUUCAGCAACAGAGAGUCCCCAUCCCAGGACUCGUUUAACUGAGCUGUGCCACACAGCUAUUGCCAUUUUUAAGAGGUUGUUUGAAUCUCUGUACUUCAAGUUUUCUCAUCUGGAAAGUGGCAGCAAUCAUCCCUACUUCUAAGCAUCCCGUGUGUGGGGGUAGGAGUUGUAAGGUGUUCACAUGUAAUGAGGUAGGAUUGUAAUAAAUAGUGCAAGCUGUGUCCAGCUCAGGCAAGGGUCAUAGGUAACAUUGGCGUUUCCCCUUCUUCCCCAUAAUUUAAACAUAUUUUCUCCUAUCUAUCUAUCUAUCUAUCUAUCUAUCUAUCUAUCUAUCUAUCUACCUGCCUACCUACUUACCUAUUUUGUCAGGAUCCCACUUUGUAGCAUAAGCUGGCCCUUGGAGCUUGGAGCUGUGAUUCUCCUCUUCAGCCUUCCAAGUACUGACACCACAGUCUUGAACCACCAUGUUCAAACUAGGGAUUUUCCAUCAUGUUAUUCCAAUACUUGCUAUUGGUUUGGGGAAGGUCACUGAAUCUGUGUUCAUAUUCAUUAUCAAUCAAUCAAUCAAUCAAUCAAUUUACCAUUCAUUCAUUCAUUCAUUCAUUCAUGUAAGCAAGCAGGUAGAUACUAAAUAUUUAUAGACUAUUGAAGGGUCAGGUACUAUUUUAAAUGCCAAGAAAAACUGGAUUGAGCUAAAGGACUGAAUUUGCAUUUGCAUGGAGUUUAUAAAUAGAGCCGCUGAAUCAUGAAACAACCAAGAAAUGACUCUCAAUAGAAAGGAGACAGUCUUUGCAGAGUCCAAACAAGAAGAUUCUUAAGACAUGUCAGUUUCAGUAUAUCUAAGAAGGUGCUAAAAUUCAUUCAGUUCUCCACACUAUGAUUAUGUUUGCAACAUAUAUUAAUUAGGAUGUUUUUGAUGCUAAGUGACCGAAAACCAACUUAAGCUACUGUAGAAUUUAUGAUUCAUGUAACUAAAAAUAUUGAGCAGAAAUGUGGGCUGCAGGUAAAGGCUGAUCCAGGAGUAUAAACCAUGCUACUAAAGUACUGCUUUCUCUUCAUUUUUCCUAAUGAUACAGCUUGCUUUUCACGAUUGUUCCUGGUCCCCUCUACUGAUAACAAAACACACCCUAGCACCAGAUCUUAGGUAUCUUCACACUGGGCUGUACAGAGGCAUUUUCAUAAUGCCCUUUCUUUUUAAUUAUUAUUUCUUUCAAAGAAAGAAAUAAAGCCAACAAAGCUACACUUUCUAAUUCUUCCCAAACAGUUCCUCCAACAUGGGACCAAGUAUUCAAACUCACGAACCUUUGGGGGCCAUUCUCAUUCAAAGAAAGAAAUAUUAAUUAAUUAAUUAAUUAAUUAAUUAAUUUCCAAGCUGGCCUGGAACUCAUUAUGUAGAUCAAAUUGGCCUCGAACUCCCAGAGAUCCACCUUCAUCUACCCCCUGAGUGCUGUUGUUAAAAGCUUUGUCACUUCACCUGGCUUUUUAGAAUAGUCUUAUUAUUAUCUGUUAGGUAUCAGUAAUGAUAUCAAUGAAAAACAAAUGCCAUGUUUUCCCUUUGUGCUGAAUUUAGACUUUAAAAACUAUAUGACAUGAAAGUAUAUGGAAGACUCUAGUAAUGAGGUAAUGAAGACUAAUUCAUGGGAGGGAGGGGGAAAGAUAGGGUAAUGGGGGUGAAUAGGAGCAAAUAUAUGUUAAGCAUAUGUGAAGAUGUGGCCAUUAUUGUGCAUGCUCAUUGGAAAUAUGGGUAGACAUCAAAUAAGCACUGAUAUGGGCAGAAAAACCCAUGAGGACACUAUCCAGACAUUUGGUUGGUGGUUUGAUUAGGGUAUCAGUGGUGCUGUAUCUUCACCUUCAUUCAUAUGUAUUCUAUUUCUCUGACUCCCCCAUGAGCACGUUGAGACAAAGAAAAGUCAUGGCUGUUGGAACUGAUUGUUCUAGGUCUCCUGAUAUGGUCAAUAUGGAGAUGAAAUGCUAAUACCCCACCAACAUUCCAUCGAGGAGGUUAGGGGGACGAAUUUUCUAUUGCUAUGAUAAGACAUCAUGACUAUGGCAACUUACAGAAGAAAGUUCAUUUAAGGCAUAAUUUCAGAGAGUCCAUGACUACCGUGGUGAAGAGCAUUGUAGCAGGUAGGCAGGCAUGGUGCUGGAGCAGUAGCUGAAACCUUAUAUAUUGAAACACCACCAUGAGGCAGAGAGAAACUGGGAAUGGUGUCUUUUGAAACCUCAAACUUCUCUCCAGUGUCACACCUCCUCCAACAAAGCCACACCUUCUAAUUCUUCCCAAACAGUUCCUCCGACAUGGGACCAAGUAUUCAAACUCAUGAACCUUUGGGGUCCAUUCUCAUUCAAACCACCACACACUCUCAUCAGCAUCCCCCCAUGGAGGUAGGAGAGGAUCGUAAGUCUCCACUUUGCCCUGUGGAUGUAUAGACACUUACCACUGGCUAAGGGGGCAGAGCUCACCAAGACCAACUCCUCCCUAAGCACCUACUGACAGUUAAUGAAUGCUGGAAGAGAGGGAGAAAUUUUCUUCAGCGAGGUAGCCAUUGAUAAUAUGUCUAUGCUCCUAUAAAUAACUCCUCACCCAUGUUCUUGUAAGCAACAUUAAUCAAAUUAAUUGGGUCAAAAAUUACAUGAAAGUAGGAGGGGGACUAGUUAUGGAAAGAAAGAAGAUUAGCAGGGAGGGAUGGGAACAAGAGAGAGAGAGAGAGAGACAAUGCAGGAUGAAUAUGUUCAAAAUACAUUAUGGAUGUGUAUGAAAUGUCAUCAUGAAAUCCAUUAUUAUGCAUAAUUAAUAUAUACUGAUAAACUUUUAAGAAAGGAAGGAACCCACAGAGACAAUGCUGUCCCAGCGUUCUCCUCCUGGGUUAUUAUGCACCCCAUCUCCCCACUCGAGAGCUGAGAGAGCUGCUCUUACUGAAAGGGGAUUCCUGCUCAUCUUCAGUGACAGAGACUCAUUUCCAUGGUGACACAUUCACGGGAGAAAGUCACCUUUGAAAAGAGUAGGCAAUGGGGAUCAGGUGUCUCUGAGAAUCUAUCUCUAGGCCUCUUCAGGGGAGACCAUGGUGUCAGGAGGUGAUGGGACCUGAUCCCAUGGGUCCACGUGAAUCUGGGGACCAUGGAACCGUUUUUGGAACCUCAGGAUGAGGGUAUCCUUGGAGGACUGUGGAGUGAAUGCUUUCAGUCCUUUGCUUAUUCACGUUGUAGACUUUUCUGGCACAACCCACUGCAUUGCUGCUCUGGCAGCCCUUGGCCAGGGUAAUGGUAUAUUCCCAUCUCAGCCUAUACGGAAGCCUAUUUGUAAAUGGAAAGACAAAUUAAGAAUUGUUUGAAUGACAAACUCAGUUCCUCAACUCUCACGAGUCACAUUCCAAGUGUUCAGCAAGGCUAGGCACCAGCAGCCACUUUAUUGGAUGGGUAGUUCUGGGCAUAUCCAUAGCGACAGAAAGUUCAUGGCCAGGGGAAUUUAGUCAGCCAGCAAACUUCUUAUAUGUAAGCAUGCACCCGUAUAUAAAACCAGAUGUACUGGUGCACAUUUCUGAUGCCAGACACUGGGAAGGUAGAGACAGAAGGAUUUCUGGAGCUAGAUGAUCAACCAAUGUAAUCUACUUGAUGAGCUCUAAGGCAUAGUAAGAGAUUACGUUUCAAAACAAGGUGAUAGUUCCUGAAGAACAGGACUCAAGGUUGACCUCUGGCCUCCACAUAAGCAAGCACAUUUGCAUCCAGACACUUGCAUAUACAUACAUGUGCACUCCUCACACAGAUGAAAACUCCAUGAGAAAGAACUGAGUUGGAAGAUCGGUUGCAAUUUAGCGUAGCUAAAAGUCAUGGUGCUUGCAGCAGGGUGUCCUCCAUCCCAGCUUUGAAGAGCAUGGCCUGGGGCAGGGCUCUCUGGGACUUCUGAUGCCCGAGUCUCCUUUUCUCCCUAUCAUCAUGGAACAACUUAGCUAUGUGGCUCAAGUAUGGGUAGUGUUCUCCAGGUGUAAAAGCUUUGUUCCUGGAGCAGUAGUAUUAUAUAAAAGUAGUAUAUAGUAGUAGUAUAUAAAAGUAGACCUUUUAUGAGAUAGAGCCUACUGGGAGGCCCUUAAGAUAGUGGAUUGUGCACUCAAAAGGUAUCAUUAAACCCAAACCCCUUUGUUUCUCCUUUUUUCCUGAAUUCACUCUAACACACACUCCUGCCAUGAUGUGCCACCCCUCUCAGAGGCCCAAACCUAUAGCACUGUAUAGUCCAACCUUGAACUUGAAUCUCUAGAACCACGAACCCAGACCAACUUUCAUUCAUUUCAUAAGAAGCCCAUGUCAUGAGUUAUUACAAUAACACAGAGCUGGCUACACUGGUAAGGUCAUAUUGUAUACUCUGGAAUAUACUGUCACAUGUCUUACAGUCUGUCCCAUAUGACAGACUUUUUUUGAUGGCAAUGACUGCAUCAUAGUUAACUGGGUGUCCUCAAACCUAGCAGGUUAUGGAUGCUCAUUAAGUGCCUACAGCACUCUAGGCUUCAGAGUUUACUCUCCUUCUAAUGCUGUAGGACAGUGUCUUUGCCCAGGUGACUUGACAUCGAGGAGCUACAGCUGUACCAUGGUUAGAAGUGGGGUUCCUGCACCUGCCAAGACUGUAGUGACCUGUAAUUCAGACUGUGCAGGCAACACACUGGAACUUCUUCCAUGUGAUGAUGUGAUAAAAUGUAGACAGAGCCUGAGCACAAGUAUGUUUCCAUCACUCAAAAGCUGUGUGACCCCCAACUAAUAAACCUUACAGCUCCGGGCUUCACUCCCAUCUGUCCUGAGGAAAUGCGGGUAGUUAAUGUGCCCGUGGUCCUGGGUGCAGGGCUGUCAUGGGGUCUCUUGAAGCUGAGGCUGGUGAUCUUAAGGCAUCCCUGGACAGGGUUUUGGACUUGGAACUGUAUGAGGCAGCCUGCUUCUGCAAGUCCCUGUGUGCAACGCACCUGGUAAUAGUGGC
rnacentral:lncRNA from 1 species